rnacentral:rRNA from 1 species
UACGGAGGGUGCAAGCGUUAUCCGGAUUCACUGGGUUUAAAGGGUGCGUAGGAGGGCAGGUAAGUCAGUGGUGAAAUCUCCAAGCUUAACUUGGAACUGCCGUUGAUACUAUCUGUCUUGAAUACCGUGGAGGUGAGCGGAAUAUGUCAUGUAGCGGUGAAAUGCUUAGAUAUGACAUAGAACACCAAGUUGCGAAGGCAGCUCGCUACACGAAUAUUGACUCUGAGGCACGAAAAGCGUGGGGAUCAAACAGG